UAGAAUACAGGAUACUUUUGGGGACU
rnacentral:piRNA from 1 species